AUAAGUGAAGAAAUUGAUGAG
rnacentral:siRNA from 1 species